AGGACGAACGCUGGCGGCGUGCUUAACACAUGCAAGUGGAGCGACGAACCAGGCUUCGGCCUGGGGCAGAGCCGCGAACGGGUGAGUAACACGUGGGUAACCUGCCUCGAUGACCGGGACAACCCGAGGAAACCCGGGCUAAUACCGGAUGUGCUCCUUCACAUCAGUGAAGACAGGAAAGGAAGCUUCGGCCUCCGCAUCGAGAUGGGCCCGCGGCCCAUUAGCUUGUUGGUGAGGUAACGGCUCACCAAGGCUGCGAGUGGGUAGCUGGUCUGAGAGGACGAUCACGCCACGACUGGGACUGAGACACCGGCCAGACUCCGUACGGGAGGCAGCGAGUGGGGAAUCGUUGCG
rnacentral:rRNA from 1 species